rnacentral:sRNA from 1 species
AAGGAUGUACUAAAAU